UUUCGUAUCGUCUUGUGCUUACCUCCAGCGUUCCUUGCAACAGUCUUGUCUUCAGUCAUUGCCACGUUUUUUUGUACUUUUGAUCCACGGGAGAUUCUUUGUUUGUAACCUUUUGUCAGCUUCGGACAAUCCACUACACAAAUUGGCGUCACGAACAGGAUGGUUUAGAAGCUACAGGUCGACAGCCGCUCCCGUUCUCUCUGUCAGGCAGACAGUGUGCUGCACGCGCGCAUAACAAGGUAAGCGUUUUGCUUAAAGUGUAAACAUUUUCUGCCUGGAGAGAGCCGGAUCGAUAAGACUAAUUGCUGAAUCUAUUUUUGAUAAAAGAUAGGUUUAGUCAGGUUCUCCAAAAACAACCUGGACUGGGGUAAAUUAUGGUUGGAUUGAGUUGUUUUAUAUGUGAUCAUUUGUCUGUGUGUUUGUUGAAUAUUUGUGAUUUCUUGUUUUUAACAUUAGGGGAUUGUUGAUAGAAUUUUGGUGGUUUGGAGUGUAGAAGCACAGACGAUGUGAGACAAUUUUCUUUUAACCUCUUCAUCCUCUGUCGUUGCUGGCAGAGGAUGCUUCUUUCUGCAAGUGCAUCAGAAUUAGCCAGAGUUGGACAAAGAUAAAUUUAAGGCAAGGGUUGCUAACUGAUGUGACAUUUGGCCCAUAUAAAAUUGAUACGUCUGUGAAAGUGCGAGACACCUGUCUAUGUGGAAACUGCAGCGGUCCCUAGUCCUUGUGACUCAGCGUGUAAAAAAGCCUCAUAUUAGGUGACCAUUCAGUGACUCCGGUAAAGGAGAUCAACUGAGCCAAGUUGUCACGAAUCUGUUUAAUGGCUGCAGAAUAGACAGGUGGCGUCUCGGGCUCCAUGUGGUAGAGCUUUGGUGAAACUUGGUGAAACUGUAUGGGACUGACCAGACACGAGUCUGUAGGUUGCUGGGUGAUUCCUGGUGGUCCUAUGGCGCCUUAGAGGCCAGUGAUCCGUGUUGGUCAGUUUGAUAACGCAGGUGCUGCUCCAAUAAAACGGGUUAAUCGCCGUUUUAUGAGCAAUGAUGGAACCUGGUUUUUGUGUGAUAUGAGACGGCCGAUUCCACAAAAGCACGUAUGCAUUAGUUGUUUAUAUUGGUCCGGACCAGGGGGGCGGGGUUUGUGGGAUAAAAAUGUGUGUUUUUUAAAUUUAUAUAUAUAUAUCUGCGUAUUUUAAUAACUUUUGUGUAGCACCUGGUUUCUUGUCUGGUUUAAUCCCCCCCUUCCUUUCCCCCCCCUCUCGCAACCUCCCCUCACGCUUUUCUCACAGCCCCGCUAUCUGUAAAAGUUUGGAAAUUGUCUAAAAUGUGUGUGCGUGUGAGAAAGUAGACAAAGUUUAUGUACAGAAAACAUAUGAGUGUAUGAUCUAUCCAUUUAAUUCUUAUUCCGCUCUCGAAGGUUGGAUCGCGGGGGCAGCAGCCUAAGCAGGGAAGCCCAGAAUACCCCCCUUAAACUUGACUAUUUGUCCAUCUAAGAGUGAAUGAUAAAUGUUGUUCUUAAGGUUCUGAUAUGAUACAGCUGUGCUUCUGGAUGAGAAAAGUAGUUGUCUAUUGCAUUUACUUUUAACUGUGCUGGUAAAUUCUGUGUGUGAGUGACUGUGACGCAUAUAGUCUCAGCUGGGAGACAUUUUGAGAUAAGAGUGUGUGCGUGUGACGAGGCUGUGUGAGUGACAGCUGCGUGAGGCAUUGGUUCGAAGAGGAGUGACACUGAUAGCAUUGAGCUAGGUUAGCAUUGUGUUAGCAUAGCAUUGAGCUAGGAUAGCAUUGAGCUAGGUUAGCAUUGUGUUAGCAAAAGUUUGCUUACUGAGUCAUAGUAAGGCUAAGUUAGCAUCUAGCUUGGCAUUACUAAGUGUGGUUGAACAGUUAUUCUCGGUCUGUAGAGUGUGCUAGUAGUAGGUGCUUGCUAAGUCCAGUAAAAUAAUAGAUAUAUGGAAAAUUACACGUUUAAAUAUCAAUCAAUAAAUAAAUACGGAUUGUGGGACAUUGAAACAUUGUUUAAUUCAUCAUUCAUUUAUAUGUCUAGUAUACUUUUUUUUGGUACAGCCUUGUUGCUUAUCUGAUCCAUCCAGUUUCUGUGUGGAAGUUGAGACAAACACACACGCACGAACAUCAUAGAUUAGGACACACUGUAACUUUGGAAUUAAUAGUUAUACAACAAAUAAAUUAAUAAUAUUGAAUUUAAAUUUGAGAAAGAUAAAUUGAUUAUACAUUGACAUUUUAAUUUUUUUUAGGAAUAAACACACAAUAACAUAAAAGUUAAAUUUAUAUUCUAAUACAUCUAAGGGCAUCUGUGAAACAUAGAGUCUAAGGAAGUACAGAUAAGAGCCACUCAGCGCCAUUGUCAAAACAAAACGUAGAGAAGCGUUAAACAAAUUCUAAUCAGAAGGAAGACAGACCAAAAUAUGAGAACUUAAGUAAACAGACAGCAAGUAAACCAGAAAUAAUAAUGUAAAUAAAUAACAAAGAAAGCAAAUUUUUAUGUGACAUUGGUGCAUGUAGAAUUACAAAUAGAGAAUAAAACAAAAUGGAAAUAACUGUCUGCAAGAUGAGCAUGACGUCAUGAAUUGUGCUCGGGUUAGUAAUAGAUAGAUAGAUAGACAGAUAAAAUGUUAUUGAUUCCUUCAGGAGAGUUCCCUUUAGAAGAAGAACUAAAAAGUAAACAGUAACUAAUAAGGGUAUAAAUGGAAACAAAAUAGAUUCUAUUAAAAGAGAAACUAGGCAUUAACGACCAUGAUAUAAAAAAGUAUUGCACUGUUAUUGUUUUGCAUUCCCUGUCAUCCUAGCCCCCCCAAAGAGGAAUUGUACAGUGUAAUGAUGUAUGAGACAAAGGAUUUUUUAUAGGCUAAACCAGUAGUUCUCAAAGGAGGGUAUGGUGUUUCCGCUCGGACAAAAAAGGGAGGUACUUGAAGGUAUGCCAAGGGGUACCUGAGAUUUUAAAUAUUUUAAAAUAGCGACAACUCAAAAUCCUUUAUAAAUAUAAUUAUAGAAGAAUAAUUCUUCAACAAAAUAAAUAUUUAGAAUUAAGUUCACGAGCCCAGAUGGAUCUGUAUUGCAAUAUCCAAAGAAGAUUGAUGAUUGAUUAUAUGUAUAGAAAUCUUUAUUAUAAUUUAAUCACUAUUUUAAUUUUUAAAACGUUUUAGUUAUUCUUAUUUUUUUGUUUGUCCAAAUAAGUCAAGUAAGACCACAACAAAUGAGCAAUAUGGUGCACUGUUAUACAAUUUAAUAAAUCAGAAAAUGAUGACAUUAUGCUGUAUUUUAUUUCUUUAAUUUACUGGAAAAAAAAAAAGGUUGAAAACCACUGCCCUAAAUCAUAUCUAAAGCUAAAAUUAUUUUAUAAGACUGAUUAUUUUGGAUUAUUGUGUUUGUAUUGUGAGAGAAGGAGAGAAAGUGAGAGAGAGGAAGAGAGAGCAGGUGAAAAAACAGAAUGAGGGUGAAGAGGAUGGUUUGAGAAAAUAUGGGAAAAGGAUGUUUAUAACCUUACGUUAUGUGAAUGGUUUCUAGGAGAACAGAAAAUAGAAACAUUGUGUGAAGUGUAAGGAAGAGAUGGAUACAGGAUGUUUGUAAAGGAAAACGGAAGUGAAGAAAAGAUGAGAAAGUGACAAAUGAAGGUAUUCGUAAAUGGUAUGCUGUUGAUUGUGGUUAGCUGCAAGUUUGUUUAUUUGUUUGUUUAGUCGUUUGAGUGAAAUGGGAAGAAAUCAAUAGGAAUAAUUACAUGCAAAAUGGAAUAAAACUGAGUGCGAUAGAUAAUGAAUGAAUAAAUGAAAUAAGUUUAUUUUGGUCAUAUAAUCCACCAUCAACCAAUUUAUGUGAUCAGUUUAACAGUAAAUUAGACAUAUUAACAAUCAUACACAUUUACACACAGAGAAGAAAAGAAAAAAGAAUGACCGAAAAAAGAAUAGGCGGAAGCCAAAGCUUAUAUUGGCCUAUGAUAUACAAUUACUGAACAUUAAAUUACCUGGAACAUCAACGUUAAAAGAUGAAAGUAAUUGUUACUAUAUUUUAUAAUGUUCAAAAACUUUACUUUUCAAGGGUCUCUUAAACCAUAACAAAAAACUACAUGUGUUUAGCUCAUCACUGAGGAUGGUACAUCAUUUAACUCCUAAAACUGAAAUACAUUUGUGUUUUUAUUUUAUUUUACUUGACCUAUUUCAAAAAUCAAUAUCCCCCAUAAAUGAUAGUUUUCUCCUCAUAAUGUAAACAAGCUAAGAAUACAAACUGGAAGGCUGUUCUUUACUUGGAAACAUAAAUGCCAUUGUUUUAAAAUUCAAUUAUCUGAACAUUUAACACAUUAUGACUUAAAAAAUGGAUUGAUAUGAUCAUAAUAAUAAUGCUUUGUGUAUUAUUGAAAUGAGCCUUUUAAUUUUAUGUAUUGGGUCUAUAAUUCUUCUAUAAACAUUUCCCCAAACUUCAAAACAAUAUUACAUAUGGAAAAAUAAAUGAAUAAUAUAACAUGUGCAGACAUUUCUUAUUCAGCAUGUGUUUAACUUUAUACCGAAUAGCAAUGGAUUUGGAUAUUUUCUUUAAUAUGUUCAAUAUGUGGCUUCCAACAUAUUAAUGAUCAAUUACUAUUCUCAAGAAUGUAGUUCAUAUACUCUGUCAAUUUCCACUUGAUUUAACUUUAAUUUUUGUUUCACAAUUUGACUAUGCACCCUGGACAGGUCGCCACCUCAUCAAAGGGCCAACACAGAUAGAUAGACAGACAACAUUCACACACUAGGGCAAAUUUAGUCUUAUUAAUUACUACAUAUUGAGAUCUAUUACUUAAAAUAACUACUUAACCACUGUUGUGAAACACCUUUCUAAUUUAUGGGAGUAUUGGGAUAGGAUUGAGGAAGAUGUCUGCUGUGGUGGUGGUUAGUUUGGAAAUUAAUUUAAUAAAAGUAACUUUAAAGUGCAGUCUGACAUUUUAGUUUGGAGUAAUUUAUAGUUUUAUUUAGACAUUGCAGUACACCAUACCAUGCGCCCGGGAAUCAUGUUUGGUGAUUUGGCUCCCAAGUUUUUUGUGGUCUUUGGUAUGACUCGACCGGGGUUUUGAGCUUGCGACCUGCCGAUCUCAGGGCGGACACUCUAACCACUAGGCCACUGAGAUAAAGGAGGCAAACCAAAUCUCAACAGCUUUCAGUUAGCUACAGAUUUUGAGAGUAUAAUGCGAAUAACUAUAACUUUACAACUGUUUUGCUGUGAAUAGUGUUUAAUAAUAAUUACAAAAAACAGCCUACAUUAAUAAUUAGAAUAAGAGCCGAUAUGUAAAGUUAAAAAUAAAAAAAAAAGAGAAGUGUGAUUAGGCAUGGCGCUUAGAGCAUGGCCUUGUGUGUUUGUUAUGACCAAGUUGGAUAACCAGUCGGAGACGGGCAAGGAUAUGUUUGUGCGGCUUUUUUCAUGCAACAGUGAAAUGAAAGAAAAUAAAAGCAAAAUUAAAAUGCAGACAAUAAAAAUAAACACAGUGCGGACGUUAAAAGUUAAAAGAUUAAAAUAUUUAGCUGAAAGAUAAGGAGAAACGUGAAUAAAAAUAUUCCUAUGUUUUGGAGAGUAUCACGCACAGCGGGAGGUCAGAGUGCAAGCAUGACAGCUUGCUCGCGCCUACUGAUAGACAAAUUAUAGUUUAAAUUAACUUAUACAUAAUCUUUAAGUGAAUUAAAAGGGUACUUGAAUACACAUGAAGUAGUACGUAUAAUCUUUGAAUUAAGGUUAUUGAUUAGCAAUUAAUGGGAUAGUUAAGACUGUAAUUUAAAAAAAAAAACGUGAUAUGCAAAAUUGAACUAACAGAGAGGAUAUGAAAACGAUGGGUAUACAUGUUUUGAGUUCCAAAUUCUGGAGGAAAAAACCUCAACAAAACGUAAAACCAUUCAGACGGACUUGGGUGGUAGCCACGGUUGUGCUAGGUCAAGUGAGGGUGGAAAGGAUGUGCAGCCGGGGGACUGCCAACUUCUCUGAACAAGACAAGCUCCAAAGUUGUAGCCAGAACAUGCUCACAAAAAAAUGCAGGUGUGACAGCAGGACGAACAGCAGGAUACAAACAGACCCCUGCUGGACAUAAGUGUCAACGGACAAUGUUCAACAUAAUCUUUGAAGCAUUCCUUUGUGGUCAAUCUGCACACACCUUGUAAUGACCUGCUUACGAACUGUGCCCUGACAAUUCAAUACCGCACAGAAGGAACUUCCUGAUGUUGCCUGACAGCACGACAUCAGCUGACAACUACUGGGGACGCCUCCCAGGAAUGAGUGGAAGACGGGGACUGCUCCAACUGUCCUAGCACUGGCUGACUGAGUCACAAGAUCAGCACUUCUCAGGACCAGCAGCUUCCUAGGAAGGUGGAAAGACCAUGAGACCAAAAUGGUAAGUUUGCAAAAUGUAGAAUUUGUGUGCCAGUUCCUCUGUGCAGAUUUGAGGAUGAAAGCAGCCACUCCAGAUUCCCUUGCACUCGCUAAGAGGGGCACGGUCAAAGCCGAUCCAGGACCAACACCCGAUACCUGACUGGAAGGAACCGAGAAGAGAGACAACACCUUGCCAGCCAAUGUGUCCACCGGGACUCCAGCAGCUGUGGAAAGAAGUGUCGGGAGUGCCGAAGCAGCGAGGAGGCCUGAAGCAAGCAGAGGGCCUGGACCAAAGCCCCACGCCCCAUACUCUGCCCCAGCCUUCCCCAAAGCCCCCACAGCUCCAACUCUACCUGAGUUUUCCCCAAUUUCGGCCAGCACGCACAUGCCACUGAACAGUCUGCCCAAUGGACUGAACCACACCCCAAGAAGAGACAGACUGUUUGAGUGGAUCUCUUUCUUCACCAAGGCAGCCAAAAGCCCAACGAGGUGUCGGCAGGCCACCAGCCUGAGGCACCACCGAGCCAUCUAUACGAGCUCUAAUCGAACAUGGACUCAUACGAAAUUCAGUUGUGUGUUCAAAAUUAAUUGGUAAUUAACAAUAUUGGUAACUAC